rnacentral:snoRNA from 1 species
CCUGCACAUUGUUAGAGCUUGGAGUUGAGGCCACUGGCCAAUGAACUCACAAGUGUAGGUAGUGUGCUACCUGAGGGGCAAGUUUUUCGCUAACACCACAAGGGUCUCUGGCCCAAUGAGUGGAGUUUGAUAGUAAUACUUGCUACAAAU